UAACACAUGCAAGUCGGACGAGAAGGUUCUUUCGGGAACUGGAGAGUGGCGCACGGGUGAGUAACGCGUGGGGACCUACCUUUUAGUGGGGGAUAACGGUUGGAAACGACCGCUAAUACCGCAUACGCCCUUUUGGGGAAAGAUUUAUCGCUAAAAGAUGGACCCGCGUUGGAUUAGAUAGUUGGUGAGGUAACGGCUCACCAAGUCGGCGAUCCAUAGCUGGUUUGAGAGGAUGAUCAGCCACACUGGGACUGAGACACGGCCCAGACUCCUACGGGAGGCAGCAGUGGGGAAUAUUGGACAAUGGGSGAAASCCUGAUCCAGCCAUGCCGCGUGAGUGAAGAAGGCCUUCGGGUUGUAAAGCUCUUUCAGAUGUGAAGAUGAUGACGGUAGCAUCAGAAGAAGCCC
rnacentral:rRNA from 1 species